GACCUCAAAUCAGGUAGGACUACCCGCUGAACUUAAGCAUAUCAAUAAGCGGAGGAAAAGAAACUAACAAGGAUUCCCCUAGUAACUGCGAGUGAAGCGGGAAAAGCUCAAAUUUAAAAUCUGGCGGUCUUUGGUCGUCCGAGUGUAGUCUGGAGAAGCGUCUUCCGCGUUGGACCGUGUACAAGUCUCUUGGAACAGGACGUCAUAGAGGGUGAGAAUCCCGUCUUUGACACGGACUACCAAUGCUUUGUGAUGCGCUCUCAAAGAGUCGCGUUGUUUGGGAAUGCAGCGCAAAAUGGGAGGUGAAUUCCUUCUAAAGCUAAAUAUUGGCGAGAGACCGAUAGCGAACAAGUACCGUGAGGGAAAGAUGAAAAGCACUUUGGAAAGAGAGUUAAACAGUACGUGAAAUUGCUAAAAGGGAAACGCUUGAAGUCAGUCGCGUUGGCUCCGGAAUCAGCCUUGCUUCGGCUUAGUGCACUUUCCGGUUGACGGGCCAGCAUCGAUUUUGACCGCUGGAAAAGGCUGAGGGAAUGUGGCACCUUCGGGUGUGUUAUAGCCUUCAGUCGCAUACAGCGGUUGGGAUCGAGGAACGCAGCGCGCCUUAUGGCUGGGGUUCGCCCACAUUCGCGCUUAGGAUGCUGGCAUAAUGGCUUUAAACGACCCGUCUUGAAACACGGACCAAGGAGUCUAACAUGCCUGCGAGUGUUUGGGUGGAAAACCCGAGCGCGUAAUGAAAGUGAAAGUUGAGACCUCUGUCGUGGAGGGCAUCGACGCCCGGACCUGACGUUUUCUGAAGGAUCCGCGGUAGAGCAUGUAUGUUGGGACCCGAAAGAUGGUGAACU
rnacentral:rRNA from 1 species